GCGUUUGUGGUUUAGUGGUAAAAUCCAUCGUUGCCAGAGAGCUUCUUCUCAACAACUUCGAUGGGCCCCGGGUUCGAUUCCCGGCGAACGCA
rnacentral:tRNA from 1 species